rnacentral:misc_RNA from 1 species
GAUGAAGAACGCAGCGAAAUGCGAUAAGUAGUGUGAAUUGCAGAAUUCAGUGAAUCAUCGAAUCUUUGAACGCACAUUGCGCCCCUUGGUAUUCCAUGGGGCAUGCCUGUUCGAGCGUCAUUUGUACCUUCAAGCUUUGCUUGGUGUUGGGUGUUUGUCUCGCCUUUGCGUGUAGACUCGCCUUAAAAUAAUUGGCAGCCGGCGUAUUGAUUUCGGAGCGCAGUACAUCUCGCGCUUUGCACUCAUAACGACAGCGUCCAAAAGUACAUUUUACACUCUUGACCUCGGAUCAGGUAGGGAUACCCGCUGAACUUAAGAAUAUCAAUAAGCGGAGGA